CUACGGGUGGCUGCAGUCGAGAAUCUUCCGCAAUGGACGAAAGUCUGACGGAGCGACGCCGCGUGCGGGAUGAAGGCCUUCGGGUUGUAAACCGCUGUCAGUGGGGAGGAAAUGCAUCAGGGUUCUCCCUGGUGUUUGACCGAUCCGCAGAGGAAGCGCAGGCUAAGUUCGUGCCAGCAGCCGCGGUAACACGAACUGCGCGAACGUUAUUCGGAAUCACUGGGCUUAAAGAGUUCGUAGGCGGCCUUUCAAGUCGGGUGUGAAAUCCCUCGGCUCAACCGAGGAAGUGCGCCUGAUACUGUUGGGCUUGAGGGGGAUAGGGGUGAGCGGAACUGAUGGUGGAGCGGUGACAUGCGUUGAUAUCAUCAGGAACACCGGUGGCGAAGGCGGCUCACUGGAUCUCUUCUGACGCUGAGGAACGAAAGCUAGGGGAGCGAACGGGAUUAGAUACCCGUGUAGUC
rnacentral:rRNA from 1 species